GACGAACGCUGGCGGCGUGCCUAAUACAUGCAAGUAGAACGCACAGUUUAUACCGUAGCUUGCUACACCAUAAACUGUGAGUUGCGAACGGGUGAGUAACGCGUAGGUAACCUGCCUGGUAGCGGGGGAUAACUAUUGGAAACGAUAGCUAAUACCGCAUAAUAUUGAUUAUUGCAUGAUAAUUGAUUGAAAGAUGCUAUUGCAUCACUACCAGAUGGACCUGCGUUGUAUUAGCUAGUAGGUGAGGUAACGGCUCACCUAGGCGACGAUACAUAGCCGACCUGAGAGGGUGAUCGGCCACACUGGGACUGAGACACGGCCCAGACUCCUACGGGAGGCAGCAGUAGGGAAUCUUCGGCAAUGGACGAAAGUCUGACCGAGCAACGCCGCGUGAGUGAAGAAGGUUUUCGGAUCGUAAAGCUCUGUUGCAAGAGAAGAACGGGUGUGAGAGUGGAAAGUUCACACUGUGACGGUAGCUUACCAGAAAGGGACGGCUAACUACGUG
rnacentral:rRNA from 1 species